UCCGAUGAAAACUAUAAAAAACUGAAAAAAGACACAAGAGUAUGGAAAGAUCUUCCGUGUUCUCAGAUAGGCACAAUUAAUAUUGUUAAAAUGGCCAUACUAACAAAACCAGUAUACAGAUUCAAUGUAAUCCCUAACAAAAUACCAACAUCCUUCUUCAAAAAACUAGGAGAAAAAAAGAUCUAUAAUUCAUUGGGAAGAAUAAAGGACCCCAAAUAGUCAAAACAAUUCUAAGACAAAAAAAAAAAAAAUACUUGAUUUCAAAUUACACUACAGAGUUAUAGUUACUACAGAAACUACAUGGUACUUGUAUAAAAACAACAUAGACCAAUGCUUCAGAAUAGAAGAUGCAAAACCAAACCCACCUAAAUAAAGUGGGUUACCUUGACAAAGAUGCCAAAAACAUACAUGAGAAAAGAUAUCCCUUUUAACAAAUGGUGCUGGCAAAACUGAUUACCAUGUGAGAUUUCUGUAAUAUGUUUACCAUAUAGAGAAGAAUGAGACUUUUCUAUCUCCCUGCACAAAGGGCAACUUGAAAUGGACCAGAGACCUAGGAAUUAGACCAGAAAAUAUGCAAUUCCUAGAAGGAAAUGUGGGGUCAAUACUCCAGCCUGUAGGUCCAGGCAAGGACUAUCUCAAUAGGAAUCCCAUAGCUCAGAAAAUAAUGCCAAAAAUUAAUAAAUGGAAUGAAGUCAAAUUAAAAAGCUUUUGUACAGCAAAGGAAACAAUUAAGAAUGUGAAGAGAGAACCUACAGAGUGGGAGAAAAUUUUUGCUAGCUACUGUUUCGAUGGAGUAUUAAUAUGAAGAAUAUAUAAAGAACUCAAAAAACUUAGCACCAAACAAACAACCCAAUCAAUAAAUGGGUAAAUGAACUUCACAGACACUUCUCAAAAGAAGAAAUACAAAUGGUCAAAAAAAUAUUAAAAAUGUUCAACAUCUUUAGUAAUUAAGGAAAAACAUAUCAAAACUACACUGAGAUUUUAUCUCACUCCAGUUAGAAUGGCAGUUAUUAAGAAUACAAAAAAUAAUAUAUGCUGGGAGAAUGUGAGAAAAAAAGAACACUUCUAAACUGUUGGUGGAAUUGUAAAUUAGUAUAACCACUAUGAAAAUUGGUAUGGAGUUUCCUCAAAUGACUUAGCUAUACCGCUCCUUAGUAUUAAUCCUAAGGAAUUAAGUCAUUAAACUAUAGCAGUACAUGCAUACCCAUAUUUAUAGCAGCAUAAUUCACAGCAGUGAAACUAUUAAAUCAACCUAGGUGUUUAUCAAUGGAUCAAUGGAUGAAGAAAAUGUUGUAUAUAUACAUAAUGGAGUUUUAUUUAGCCAUAAGGAAAAAUGAGAUUAUGUAAUUUGCAGGAAAAGGCUUGGAACUUGAGAACAUUAUGUUAAAUGAAAUAAGCCAAAAUCAGAAAGUCAAGGAUCAUAUGUUUUUUUUCUCAUAUGUGAUAGUUAAAGAAUAAAAAGGAAAAGAAAAUGAUUGGGAGGAAUCUCAUGAAAAUCAAAGGGAUGUCAGCAGAGUAUAGGAAAGAUACCAGGGAGAUGGAGGAGGAGAGGGAAAGGGAAAAUACUGGGGAAUAAUAUUGGCCAAAUUAUAUUGUCAUGUUGUGUGCAUGUAUGAAUAUCCCACAACAAAUUACAACUAUAAUGCACCAAUAAAAUAUAUGGAAAGAGGAAGGAAGGAAGGACAGACCUAGACCUAGGUCUUUUUCUCUCCCUUAAGAACACAGGAUAUUAUCAUCUUUAAAUAUUUGCUAAUCUGUUAGGUUAAAAAAAUAUUUUCCUUUAAAUUGUAUUUCUUUCAUUAGUAAGUUACAUCAAUUAAGUCUUUUGAAAUUGAAUUUCCAUUUAUGUACAUUUUCCAUAUUUGUGUUUAAGAAUCUAUUACACAUUAAGGAAAGAGUCAUCUAUGAAAUGUAUUGGUCUUUCCCUUUCUGUGGCUUCUGGGGUCAUGUCAACUACCAAAAAGACUUUCCUUACUUUGAGAAUGUGCCCACAAAUUCUAAAUCAAUGAGAUAAUGAUUAUCAUUAUUUCAAGGUAUAGAAACUACUAGAAUGCUAGCAUGACUCCAGGCUCUCUGUUAUGUUAUGCUUAAAAUCUUUAGGUAUUUAUUACAUUAUCUAAUUAUAUAUCACAUAUGUCCUUUUUAAUAAUGUGGGUUUUUGUUACAGAUACCAUUUUUUAAAGCUGGGAAACUUAAUGCCUAUAUUGAAAAAUAUGGAGCUAAGGUAAGUUGUUUUUUUAAAGAAUAAUAAUUCCAGAUGUUUUUAUAUUGAUUAUAGUGUAUUCAGCUUCUUUUGCUAGCAAAAAAUAUUGAAGUAUAUUUCUCAUAAGCUAUUGGUAUGCAUGUGAAAGAACCCUACAAUUUUUUCCAAACAAUUUUUGUGCAUACUUGGUACAGAAAGAGAAGACAAGUCUUAUUUUGUUGUUGUUAUUGAAUACUUACCAUAGGCAUUUUAUGUGGCAUAAUCUCAUUUAGCAUAGACAUCUUUAAAUAAAUGAACUUCCCCAUUUUUUCAGAUGAAGAAAAUGAAAUCCAGACAGGUGGAAUUAUUAUCCACAGUUAUAUAGCUAGUUGUGGAAGAACAAAACAUAGGUUGUAUUCUAUAU
rnacentral:lncRNA from 1 species